CCCUCCGUCCCUCCCUCGUCUCCCCACGGCACCGGCUCGGGCUCUGCCUCCCACAGCGCUCCCAGCGGCAGCCCGGGGGCUCUCCGUGCCGCCAGGGCCCUGCCGCCGCCGCCGCCGCCUUCCCCGGUGUCCCCCGGUGGGGCGGCGCGGCCGCCAUGUGGCGGCCCUGAGGGCAGCGCAGCCCCGGGGCCAAGGGGAAGGUCGGCGGCGGCUGCCUUUGGCUGGCUGCCGGGGCUGGGCGAGGGCUCCCGGCGGUGUUGUGCUGCCCGAGGGAAGCUCGAGUGGUUUCCUGCCGUGCCCCGGGGAUUUGGGCGAUUUCCUGAAUCUAAAAUAAAAAUCUUUUAUUUUGUUAUUUUGGUACUUUCCCUAAAGUUGCCGUAUCAUCUGAAGCUCAGCCAUGGACCCCGAAGCUGAGAUAAAGAAGCAGGUUAACCCCUUCUACUGCAACAUUUGCAAAAUCUGGUGUGCUUCUGCAUUAAACUUGCAGACUCACUUCCUUGGAUUCAAGCAUAAGACGGUUGAAGAAGCACUGAAAGCUCAUGGUAUUGUUAAAACUGCGGGUGGCACAGGGGAACAAGUGAAAACACCUGAAAAACUUCCUGAUUAUGUGCAAACUGAGCCAGAGAGAUUUCAUGGACAGACUUUGGAAGAGCAACUUAACACAUGUAAAGAUUCAGAACCUGCACUCGGACUUAAUUAUAUAAUUGAAUACCGAUCAAAAGACAAUUUCCCUUUUCUCUAUGAGUGUCAACUGUGCCACUGUAAAACAGGACUGAGUAACAUGUUCAUGCAUGUUUGUGGCUCCAAGCAUAGACUGGCAUACUUGAAACAACAUUAUCCUGAGAUAGCAGAAUCCGAUGAAGUUAAGGGUAAAGGCUCUGAGCUCAACAGAAAAGUUAGACAAGUUGCAUUAACAAUUGAGAAGAAAGAAGGAAGAAAACAAAUAAAGGUUGUUACGGAUGCCCCGAUGAUGAGGAAGAGAUGGCAAGAAUAUCCUAAUGCAGAUGACAGCCCUUCAAAAGCUAAAGUUCAGCAUGUGGAUAUGUUGCUUAGUAAUGAAAAAGAAACAGAUGGUAAAAAUAAGGAUGGAAAAAUGCCAGACCCUAUGCAAGAAAAGAAUGUUCAAGAGGAGCCGGAAAAAAGUCAGCAAGAACAGGCAAAACCAGAUGAGAAGGCUGAAACUAAUAAGCCUAUUGAAAGCAGCAAAGACAACAAGACUGAGGAAGACAGCAAAGGCAACGGUUCUGAAAAGUGUGAGACCAAUAAACAAUUGCAGGAAGAAAAUGAGGAACUUGAGCAAGAAUCUCCAGCAAAUCUUGAGGAAUUUACUAGUCAAGAAGAACUGUUGGGUUAUUUGCGAAGUUUUGAGAUACUGAAUGAGGAUGAUGCUGCUUUUAUCCUAAAAGUAACACAGACUCUCACAGAUGCACUGGUGGAGUAUCGUCAGCAGGCUGCAUCGAAAAAAGAUCUCUUAGAUACUGAGCAUAAUGGAGAAGAAGUAUUGGAACAUUCCACAGAGCAAUCUGACCUGAAUUCUGCAGAUAUUAGUGAUUCUGAUACUGACUAUUCAAGCAGCCGAUCAGCUAAGAAGUCUUUAUCAGUAACUGAGGAAGAUGAACUGCAAAACUUUUCAGCUGGCACUUUGGAAGCAGCGUAUGAGAACAACAUCACCGCUGAAUUUUUGAACAGUGUAAGAAAUAUGAACGUUGUGGAAGUUACUGCUACUCUACACAAAAUAGCGGCAGCAAACCCAGCUUUCAGAGCGUAAGGAAGUUCUGUAGGCCUGUGCUUAAGGCCUGUGCUGUUUAAAUGGCCUGGAAAAAGGGAUGAGUAUCUGGAUGACAAAAUUUUGUGAUUGCACCAUUAUUCAAAGCAGUUGAAGUGUAGGUUGACUGAAGUUCAAAUGCUCCUCAUCAGGAAUUGAUAUUCCAAAUGUUGUAAGGAUCCUGACUGAAAGUGGGACUCUGAGAAGACCAAGCAAUGGCAGCACACAGUGACAUGGUAGUUAGCAGAGUUAAUAUUGCAGUAUUUACUUUCUGUAAGUUUGACAAUGUUCUUUUACUUGAGAUGAACUCAAUGAAGCUGAUUUUACUAUAUCCAAAUUCUGUACAGUGUUGUUUUAAUUAAAAAAUUGGUUAUGAGAUUCCUGUUAUUUAUUUUUCCAUAUGGCUGACAUUUCUGUGUUUGUAGAAAGGUUGUAAAGUUCAUGUGUCCCUUGCUGCUUAAACAUAUUUUUAAAAAAGGUAGCUGUUGUUUUCCUAAAUAUUUUUGCAUUCUGUAUAUUGGCAAUCUGAUCUCUUCAUAUUGGUUCUUUUGGUUCUUUUACAAAGAGUUAACAACAGAAGGGAUAACAGAAGUCAGCAGUUCAAAUUCAUGCUACAACAAAUAGUUGGAAAUUAUUGCCUGUGGCUGCAGAGCCCUACUCAAAGGCUAUUGAAAUCAAAAACCUCCUUUCAUGUAAGAAUGAUGAAUUGGUCUCCUCCUCUGUUUCUAAAUAAAGAUUAAUAAUAAAAAGCCAGUGCUGUCAGUCCAGUUCUGAGCUGAGAAGUGCAUGGACUAUAGGUAAUUUGUGUAGGCUAGAUAAUUGGAAAAUUUAGCAAACUCAGCAGAGGUUUACUUGCUUUUGCAAACUCAGAGAUAUGUCCCAAGAGACGUAACCAGACCAUGCUAAAGACACACUGAAGUGAUAGUGAAAAUAUCUUCUGUCUUCUCUUAUAUGACCAGUAUGAGAAUGAAGUGAAAGUUUGCUUAUACUAUCCUUCAGUUCUGGCUUUGAAGGUAAACUUUUUUUCACCUACUGCAAUAGUCUUUUUGACUUAAUAUACGUGUGCGUAUAUAUAUAUAUACGUAAUAAAUACAUUUAUAUGUAUAAGUCCUAUGUGUUAACCACUACUAAUUUGGUAGGAUGAUAGAAAAAUGUUUUGGAUGGUUACAGAUUAAUGUGCUUGGAAAAAAUAUUUUUUUUUUAAAUUAAAUUGCCUAAUUAAAGUCUUCUUCCUGCGUGUGGUCUUGGGUAGCGUUCAGUGCUUCUAAUUAAAGCUCUUCGGCUUUGCAGCCAAAAGCUGGUAUAAUACAGACAUGAUGGGGCCAGAUGGUAAAUGAACCUUUUAAUGUUAACUUACACUUUUUUUGGAGAUGUGGAUGGAAUUGAGAAUCCUCAUCCUGCUUUCACAUCUUCGUAUCGUGGAAUGCACGAUGCCGUAAAAGAAAGGUAACAAAAAAAGCAACAGAAUCGGUUAGUUUUGUUCUAUGAACAAACUAACCAUGGAGGAAUAUGGUUAGUUGAUUAGAUAGAAUUAACCGCAUAGGAGUGAAAACGGUUCAAUGACAAUUAAAGAAAUUAAAACAGAAAACAAUUACUGUUUUAAUGAAAUUGUGAAGAAUUUCUAGAAUGUCUUGAAGUUCUGUUCAGAAACAGAGAUAAAACCAGAGUCUAAUCAGCUCUGCAGUUAUUCUCCCCUGAAAACUUUGUUUGCUGGUGCAUAUAGAGUCUGCAAAAGAGUUGUUUUGUUUGGUCUUGUAUCUUGCGUGUGUUUUGUGAUGGCUCAGUAUGUUCUUAUGCUAAUGGAAAACGGUAUUUUUGUUCCAAAACAGUUUUUAAGGAUAAUAUUUUACUUGUGUCCAAUUUUUUUAAAGACACUAUCUCUACUAAUGAUGCUUAAGAAAUGUUGUGCUGUACUUAAUAUUAUACACUGAUUGUUAAAGUACCACUAAGGCAGACUUUCUGUCUAUCGGAUAAUUCAUUGAAUUUAAAACUUAAGUGAUAUCAAGAAAAAUUCUACCAAUUAGGAACUGAUUUUUCUUUUAGCUUUACCUUAGCGUAACAUAUUUUACUGAGACACCAGAGAGCUUGAGGGAAAUUAUCUUUAACAAAACUGGAGAACUUGAACUUCUCUUAUAAGGCAUAACGUGUGAAAGAGAAGGACACUCAGGUGAAUUGACAGGAAAUGAAAAAGUUUGAGUAUGCAAUGGAAGACAAGCUGCCUGGUGUACAUUGUGAUGAUCUCUGAUCAUAAUUCUAGAGUUACGGAAACAUAACUGCCCUGGUUUUGCUUCCGGUUUCUUCUAGGAUUGUGAUAUGUCUUUCUGAGUUAGGAAUUUAUUAUCCCUUUUGAAGCAGCAAGCCCCAUCUUGUGAAUUUGAUCUAGGCGUCGGUGUACAAAGCUCAUAUAGGGUGCCCGAGGGUUUGAUACCAUUUGUGAAACCUGAAAUGCUAAUGCUGACUCUGCACUACCUUCACUGAAACUAUUCUUGAGUCUUUAAUUGUUUUUCUACUCUGUAAAUGCAAAUCCUGGGUUUUAUUAUUGCAUUUUUGUUGGAGGAAAUGUUAUUACGUAACUUCAUUUUAGAAAUACAAUUAAAAACGUUCUCAUGAAG